GGGGUCAGCAGAUCUUUUAUCAAGUUGAAUUGUGAUGGGGCAACCAAUUCAAGGAGUAAUUAGGGUGCGGUAACUGUCAUUCACGUAACCAUCAAGGCUACCCUCAAGGUUGGAUAUGCAAACUUUUCAAUCAUAUUACAAACCCUUUAGUUUUGGAAUCCCUGGCUUGCAGAGAAGCGAUACUCCUGGUGAGAGUAAAAGGCUUCACAAAUAUCAUUAUAGAAAGAGACUCUCAACUGGUUUUUAAGACUCUCAGCAAUAAUGUGAUUCCGGCCAGUAUCCAAGGCAUUAUCAC
rnacentral:misc_RNA from 1 species